rnacentral:rRNA from 1 species
AUGGUCGCCAGGAGCCCCAACGCCAAGCCGGACCGGCAGACGGCGGCCGCCGCCGCCGCCGCCGCCGCGCUCAACCCCGCCCUCGUCAGGGAGACCCUCAAGAAGAUGGACCGGUGCAUGGCCCGGCUGCAGGAGCUGCAGUACACGGUGGCCGGCGGCGCCAAGGUCGUCUCCGGGGUCAGCCUCAGCCCGCGCAGCACCCGCGGCUACCUCCGCACCAGCAUCCGCUGCAAGCAGGAGACCGUCAGGAUGAGGGGGACGCCGGCGCGGAGCGGAUCCCCCAAGGGCAAGUUCGGCGGCGGCGAGGGCGCGGCCCAGUGGCGCCGGAUGUCGCUGCCGGCGAUGCUCCUCGGCGAGACGGUGCUGGAGAUCGUCCAGGCCAGCCAGUUCGCCCGGGACAUCGUGGCGGUCGCCGAUCCGCCCAAGACCCCGAUGCCCGUCGCGAGGACCAGGAAGGCCACCGCGGAGCAGACGCCGCUCCGGGCCCGCCGCGCCAAGGAGAAGCAGAGCCAGCGCGGCACGGCGGGGGCCGAGGCCGGCACGCCGCCGUCGCGCGCGCGCGUCCGCUCCCGGAUACAGUUCAAGCCCACCUCGCCACUCGGCCGCCCGUCACUGUCGGCGGCGAACAGGGUGUCCCCCAAGAACCGGCCUUGGGGCAGGAAGACGGUGAUGUUCCCCAACCCAACAUUCGUCGCUCCCGCCUCCUCCACCGCGUACGCCUCGCCGUCGGCCACAAAGAAACAGAAGCGGUCGAACAAGACUCGGUCCCCUGUCAAGGCCGCGCAGACGCCGCACAAGUUCCUGGUCAAGACGCCUCCGAGUGCUCUUGGGUCCAAGCUGAAAAGCCAUGGCAAAUUGCUGCCUAAUUCAAGACCCGUCGCCGUGUCGCCGCCAGGGAAAGCACAGGCGGCGUCCGGAAAAACCCGGCGGUGCUCGUUCUCGCCGUCCAAGUUGGCCACAAGGCUCGUUUCACCAAUAAAGGCGAGGUUAUCCUUCAUCUCGCCAAUGAAAUCGAGGACGUCGUCGCUGAGGUGCCGCGACGGCGGCGGCGUCGGCGGCAGCAUGAUGAGUGGGCUCAAGCAGCGACCCAUCGUCAACUUGACGGCGCGGACUGUCAGGAUAUCAUCUUGA